AGAACGAACGCUGGCGGCAGGCUUAACACAUGCAAGUCGAGCGCCCCGCAAGGGGAGCGGCAGACGGGUGAGUAACGCGUGGGAAUCUACCCAACUCUACGGAAUAGCUUCGGGAAACUGGAAUUAAUACCGUAUACGUCCUACGGGGGAAAGAUUUAUCGGAGUUGGAUGAGCCCGCGUUGGAUUAGCUAGUUGGUGGGGUAAUGGCCUACCAAGGCGACGAUCCAUAGCUGGUCUGAGAGGAUGAUCAGCCACACUGGGACUGAGACACGGCCCAGACUCCUACGGGAGGCAGCAGUGGGGAAUAUUGGACAAUGGGCGAAAGCCUGAUCCAGCCAUGCCGCGUGAGUGAUGAAGGCCUUAGGGUUGUAAAGCUCUUUCAGUGGGGAAGAUAAUGACGGUACCCACAGAAGAAGCCCCGGCUAACUUCGUGCCAGCAGCCGC
rnacentral:rRNA from 1 species